ACCAGCAGCCAUAUCAUCAAUGCAGCUCACAACUGGCAACCCACUGAAGCUAAGCAGGUUGUGAACCUGACCAGUACCUGGGUGAGAGACCUCCUGGAAAAAACUCAGGUUGCUGCUGGAA
rnacentral:rRNA from 1 species